rnacentral:miRNA from 2 species
GGAAUAUGAAGGAAAAU